GGGAAGGUGGCUCAGUGGUAGAGUGCUUGUCUUGCAUUCAUGAGGUCCUGGGUUCGAUUCCCCAAUAUCACA
rnacentral:tRNA from 1 species